rnacentral:rRNA from 1 species
UACGUAGGGUGCGAGCGUUAAUCGGAAUUACUGGGCGUAAAGCGUGCGCAGGCGGUUCGUUAAGUCAGAUGUGAAAGCCCCGGGCUCAACCUGGGAACUGCAUUUGAAACUGGCGGGCUUGAGUAUGGCAGAGGGGGGUGGAAUUCCGCGUGUAGCAGUGAAAUGCGUAGAGAUGCGGAGGAACACCGAUGGCGAAGGCAGCCCCCUGGGUCGACACUGACGCUCAGGCACGAAAGCGUGGGGAGCAAACAGG